rnacentral:rRNA from 1 species
CCUUGUGUAUCCUGCCAGUAGUCAUAUGCUUGUCUCAAAGAUUAAGCCAUGCAUGUCUAAGUAUAAGCACUAGUACUGUGAAACUUCGAAUGGCUCAUUAAAUUAGCUCUCGUUUAUUUGAUUGUACCGUUACUACUUGGAUAACGGUAGUAAUUCUAGAGGUUACAGUUGCGGAAAGUCCCGACUGUCUUCGGAAGGGAUAUAUUUAUUAGAGUAAAAACCAAUGCAGAUUUUGCCCGGUGUUGUGGUGAAUCAUAGUAACUAAUCGAGUCGCACUGCCUCUCCGCUGGCGAUGUUUCAUUGAAAUAUCUACCCCAUCAACUGUCGAUGGUAAGGUAGUGGCUUACCAUGGUUGCAACGGGUGACAAAGAAUUAGGGUUCGAUUCCGGAGAGGGAGCCUGAGAAACGGCUACCACAUCCAAGGAAGGCAGCAUGCGCGCAAAUUACCCCAUUCUGACUCACGGAGGUAGUGACAAGAUAUAACAAUACAAGGCUUUUGCAAGUCAUGUAAUUGGAAUGAAUAUAACCUAAAUCCUUUAACGAGGAUCCAUUGGAGGGUAACUCUGUUGCCAGAAACCGCGGUAGUUCCAGCUCCUAUAGCGUAUAUUAAAGUUGUGGCAGUUAAAAAGCCCCUGAUUGGAUCUUGGGAUAGCCCGGCCGCUCUGCCCCAAGGCAGGUUACUGGCCGAGCUUUUCCUCCUCGCAGAGACUGAGUGUGCUCUUACCUGAGUGUGCUCGGGGUCUGGGACGUUUACUUUGAAAAAAUUAGAGUGUUCAAAGCAAGCAAGUGCGGGAAUACGUAGGCAUGGAAUAAUGGAAUAGGACUUUGGUUCUAAAAGGACGUAAAGACAGCAGAGUGACAAUAACUCUCAAAAAAGAAACAACUUUGAAUUUAGAUUUACAGGACAUGUUUUGACAUCAAAAGAUACAAACUCUCAACAUCGAAAGAUAAGAUCAACUUUUCUAAGGUUGAUAACUGCUUGAUUUCAUGUACAAAAGAAAACGUGUCGCGGACGUUCUAUUCACGCGCGACAUGUGGCUCUAGCAGAUUACAAAGGAUUUUAGAUAAAUUGUAAAUGUAGGUACCUAUUGAAGAUACUAUGGGUCGAAAUGGAGGUCUUUCAUUAGGCUUCCGAGCCUUGUGCAUUUUAGGUAGCCCAUAAAACCUGGCUGGUUGAGAACCAGUUGGAUAGAUUCUCUCACACGUAUCUUUGUCUAAGUGGCCCUUAUUUUUAUGCGCUCUUAAAAAACGUUAUAAUUUACCCUCCCUUUGUAAUGUAGGAUCGUUAUCAUUAACCUUAAACUUAGAAGUGUCUCUGAUAAUGGAAAAAAUACUUUCUUCGUGGGCUUUCCUGUCCAUGAAUACUAAGCCAUUUCGUUUGUCAGGCUUCAGUAUUACAAUGUCCUUGUUCUUCCUCAAAUCCUUUAGUAUCCUACAUUUCUUUAAGUCCGCUGCAGAAGGUUGGUGGGAAGAAACGUACGAAUGGGCAAGAU